GUGAUAAGUAAAAGAAGAUGAUAAUGAAUGUAAUCAUAGUAAUGAAUAAAUAUGUAAGUAGAUAAUGGUGAGAAUGUGAUGGUUGUAUAUAUAUA